rnacentral:rRNA from 1 species
CGGACGGGUGAGUAACGCGUGGAAAACCUGCCGUAUACUGGGGGAUAACACUUAGAAAUAGGUGCUAAUACCGCAUAAGCGCACAGCUUCGCAUGAAGCGGUGUGAAAAACUCUGGUGGUAUACGAUGGUUCCGCGUCUGAUUAGCUAGUUGGUGGGGGAAUGGCCUACCAAGGCAACGAUCAGUAGCCGGCCUGAGAGGGUGAACGGCCACAUUGGGACUGAGACACGGCCCAAACUCCUACGGGAGGCAGCAG